rnacentral:rRNA from 1 species
UGCUUGUCUCAAAGAUUAAGCCAUGCAUGUCUAAGCAUAAGCCAAAAAAUGGUGAAGCCGCGAAUAGCUCAUUACAACAGCCAUAGUUUAUUGGAUCUUGACUUCCUACUUGGAUACCUGUGGUAAUUCUAGAGCUAAUACACGCACACAAGCUCCGACCUCUGGAAGGAGCGCAUUUAUUAGAACAAAACCAAUCGGGCUCGCCCGUCUUUUGGUGAAUCUGAAUAACUCAGCUGAUCGCAUGGUCCUCGCACCAGCGACGUAUCUUUCAAGUGUCUGCCUUAUCAACUUUCGAUGGUAGUUUAUGUGCCUACCAUGGUUGUAACGGGUAACGGAGAAUAAGGGUUCGACUCCGGAGAGGGAGCCUGAGAAAUGGCUACCACAUCCRAGGAAGGCAGCAGGCA